rnacentral:rRNA from 1 species
CCGGCGCACGGGUGAGUAACACGUAUGCAACCUGGCCGUCACAGGUGGAUAACCGGAAGAAAUUCCGACUAAUACAGCAUAACACUCCUGAGGGACAUCCCUUGGGAGUCAAAGGAGGCAACUCCGGUGACGGAUGGGCAUGCGGCGCAUUAGGUAGUUGGUAGGGUAACGGCCUACCAAGCCGACGAUGCGUAGGGGUUCUGAGAGGAAGGUCCCCCACAUUGGAACUGAGACACGGACCAGACUCCUACGGAAGGCAGCAG